CACAACCCUGAGAUCGUGACCUGAGCCAAAAUCAAGAGUCAGAUGCUCAACCGACGGACCCAGGCGCCCCUCUGUAGCUUUUAAAUAUGGCCUAGACUAAUUACAGAAUUACUGCAACUAACACCCAGAUCUGAAAUAACAAGGUGAGAUACCCUGUAAGGAAGCCAGCUGGCUCCCCUUACAUGCACAGAAAUAACAACCCACGGAAGGAGAUUUCCCAGGUGCAGAAGUGUGGCUGGACCUCAGCCCUAGACACUGAACUGCUCCCAGGACCUGACUCAUGGCCCUGUCAACCCCAUGAUGGCCAGAGAAAGAAGACUGCUUUCCCUUUGACAGCCCUAGCCUAUGCCCAGACCCUUCUUCUAGUUCACCAUAACCCAGUGGAGACCAGGCUGCCCCACCCACAAGACCACAUUGCUGGUCGAGGGAGAGGUACCUGCUUACAGGGAAUCCUUUUAACAGGCUUCUCAAAGGCCAGAGUGUGCUCCACAGGGUUGACAUCCCACCAAGCUCCCUGUGGACUGUUCUCUUCGGAUCAAGAGAAGAAAGGAAUUCCCUCUCUUUCAGCCAAAGGGAUCUUCCCAAUUCCUGAAUCAGGAUUCAAAAACUCCCAGGGGUAACGGAUUCUAGAAAUGUCAACUUCCUUUGGGAAAAGACUGGUUUCUACCCACGAGAUAUGACUUCACGCUGGUCUUAACAAAACGACCAUCCCCAAAGAUAUAAAAGAUACAUAUAUAAUAGAAAGGGUUGGGAAAAAGGAUGGGAAGGCUCAUAUUCUUAUGGGGGGGAACAUGUCUACUUUAGCUCAUCAGUGGAUCCCCAGACCUGUCGCUGUGUGGUGCAUAGUACAGGAUUAGUAAAUAUUUGCCUGGUGGAUGAAAGAAUAGAUCCUGUGCUAUUUCCAUGAGCAGAAAUAAAUUCCACACAUAUUCUCCAAAUUCUCCUAUUUCAAGGGCACCUGGCCAGUUAAGUUGUUAGAGCACGUGACUCUUGAUGACAGGGUUGUGAGUUUGAGUCCCACAUUGGGCUAAAAACAAAAACAAACAAACAAAAAAGCCUCCUAUAGCCAGACUCUUUUAUGAUAUUAAGCAAUGGGGAUUUCAUCUCUUUUAUGUCUGGCUUCAAACACACGCCCCACUCUGUUCUUGGCUCCUGAAAUUCAUCUACUGCCUCCUCUGGAUUACCUCUGCCCAUUCAAUUUCAAAGUAAAUACCCUGCCAUCGUGUUUCCAGCUCCAUAUUGAUUUUAGGUAGAAAAAAAGAAGAAGAAAAAAAAUACUUAUCUAUUUAAAAAAUACUUAUCUAUAUAAUAGUGGAUUAUAGAUUCUAUAUCGUCUUUACACACCCCUGCAUCCUGUGCAAUUAUUAAAAUUAAAGGGUAGCAUUCAGCAAUUUGUUCUAAUAACAGUAAUUUUGUAUCAACAACAACUUUCCAUGUGUGAAUGAAAGUAAAUCAAUUGCUAUCUUUAAUUAAAGGACAAAGGCGAGACUGAGCCGAAGUAAAAGUUCUCCGGUGAUUGUUCUAAGGAGAGCACCCAAGUUUCAAUGUUUUUCAAACCAAAAAAACCUAAAACAAACAAAAAAAAAUCGAUCUUUAAACUGUGUAUGAGAUUUCGUUUAAGCACAGAAUAAUCUGAUAAUCAGAACAUAAAUGAGAUGAGACCACCAUUUGAAUGCUGAACAUCAGAUGGCUCUAAGGGGUGCUGUUUUGCUAUUAGCAUUAAAGAGCUGACUCCUCCCCAUCACCUUCUAGUCCUUUUCCCCUACAGGCACCCUGCUCACCAGCCUUCCCUCCAUUCUUGAUGCAAAGUGUGCUUGUUCCUGCUGCAGGACCUUUGCACUUGCUGCCCCUCUGCCUAAACCUCUUUUCCAAGGCUGGCUCCUUCCUGCCAUUCAGACUCAGUUCCAAGGACAUCUCCGCCAGAAGGCCUUCCCAUACCAUUCUUCUGAAGUAUUGUGCCCACUUCCUCCCCAUGACUGUGUUUCACUAUCCUGCUUUGUUUCCCAUAGCACAUGUCACUCUCUGCAACAUAUAAUUUAUGUGUUUUUUUUUUUUCUUUCCUCUUUUAACAAAUUUCUGUCCUUCACCACUGCAUUGUAAGUUCUGAAUGCACGGGACCCUAUUCUGUCUUGAUCACUUCUAUAUCCCCAGUAUCUAUUAGGCACUUAGAUGCUCGUUAAAUGGAUGAAGAUGGAUAAAUAAGUGAAAGCAGUUGAAAAUUAAAAAAAUAUAUAUCUAAAGGGAGAUAAAUAGAAUUUAAAAAUAAAGAAAAGUUGUGUAUUUCACGGACUUCUUUCUGGGUAGAAGAGCACGUCCUUCGUUUAAAAAAAAUUCCUUUCCAGGGUUCUACAAUAUUAAGGUGAGAAAGUAGCUAGCGUGGGAAGAAAUUUUAAGAGGCACCCAAAAUACAAGCAUAUAGCAGGUCAGGGACACUUCCAGACUAAUUACAAAUUGAGAAAUUUGUUUCAACAUCAAAUAAAGAAUGGAUGUACAGGUGACUAUAGGUGUAAUCAUCUUCAAAGAAACAAACAAACCUAUGUUUUUCACUCUUGUACUCUUGUUCAUAUGAAAUUUUAGACCAUCACAUGUAUCCACUUGAGUUCAUUGGUGCCUAGCAAUUGGUAAGCUAGAUCAUAAAGCCUGCAAUUUAGUAUGCAUUAGCAUAGAAGAAUAAGGGUUAGCUGUUAUUACUGUCAUUGUCGAUAUCAAUGUCAUUAUCAUAAUCAUCAUUUACCAAGAAUAUGUCCAGACCUGAGGGAAAGCAGUUGGGAAUAAAGUGUAUUGAAUUCUGACGAAUGAGUUCAAAGUCCCCGAAGGGAGCUGGCUGGAUAGAUUUCCACUUUCUUUGCAUGUCAGAGAAAGCGACAGAAACAUGAACUGCUUUAGUUCAAAGCAAUUCAUUUCAGUGGCUUCACGCAAUCACUCAAGGACUAAACUCCUUGUUGCUUUUCCUUUGCCCGAGGGCAGAAAGGGCUCUUGAUCAUUGUCCCAGGGAGGCUGCCUGGCCUGAUGGCCAUCAGCUCUUCUUAAUUAAUAAGCCCUUUCUGCAUUCAUCACCCUGACAAGGCGUUUAGGUUUGGUUCAAUCAGUUGGGGAGGGUAAGAACCCAGAGGGGUCUGGUGGAUAGUUCCAUGAGGAGUCGGCCCUGGGGAAGGAGGACUUGUUAAAGGGCAGCCCCUUCAAUAUCCCCACGGAUGGCCCAGGCCCCAGUUGCUGCCGUGUUUACUUUGGGGAACAAUGUGUGGUCAGGUUACAGAAACAGCGGAUUGGUUUUCAGGCUUUUUGAUCAAUUAUGAGACUCCCAUCACAGCUAUAAUUAUCAAAACUAUGAUAAAUUCAUCUAGAUUUGAGAAAUCAGAUUCAAUAUAGUAGAGUGGUUCAGAGCAGAGACUCAGCUUUGAAUCCCAGCUCCCUCCCUGACCUUGGGCAAGUCACUUCCCCUCUCUGCACCUUAGUCUUCCCAUCAGUAACAGGAGAAUAAUUGUAUCUACCUCUUGGGGUUGUUGCAAACAUUAAAAAAAAAUUAUGUAUUGGGUGCUUGUUACAGUGUAGAUAUGUUAGCUAUUAUUUAUUAUCUCUAUAAUUAAGGGAGAUGGGGGUCGGGGAGAAAAUAUAUACCCUCUGGAGCAAGCAUGGGCUUCAUUUAAUUCAAUAAAAAAAAGAUUCUGGGUGUCUAUUAUGUAUCAGGUACUGGUGUGAUGUGAUCAAGACGCAGCCCUGUACUCACGGAGUUCAUGGCCUAGGAAGGGAGAAAGACAUGUAAACACAUACAUCAUAAUACAUUGUGACAGUGAAAACAGCAGGUACAAUGGUUGCACAGAAGAGGGAGUGACGACCUCUCUCUGGGGGGAGUCUCUGAGCCGGUGACCUCCAAACGGGGCUUUGAAGAUGGAUGGAGUUUGCUAGCAUCAAAGUGGAAGGGGCAGGAGAUAGGUCAAGAAGAGGUAACUGUGGCCAGAUCACGAAGAGCCUGGUAUUUACUUGCUUCAGUUGUGUGUAGGCUGAACGGAGGCAGGGGUGGUGGGAAUGGAGAGGGAACAAGAGGUAAUGAAGGAGUAGGGGUGUUGGGGCUUAGUGAUGGAGUGGAUGUGGGCAGUGAGGGAGGGAGAGGAUCCAAGCCACUCUCAGGUUCACUGGGCCGACACACAAGGAAGCUGUAUGACUGGAUAGCAUGAAGGUAGCAAGAAGAGCCGAUCUGGGGGAAUGAGAAGGUAAGGUCUAUGUUGUACAUGUGGAGUUGGCUGUGCCUGUGAACAUCCAGGGGGGAUGUGGGCAGUUGGAAUCACACGCUAGAGGUUCUAUGUGUGAGCUUAUAGAGUCUUUAUGGAGGCAUGUGGCGGGGAUAGAACCUGGAGCCCUAGGGUAUAAUAUUGAUAAUGGCUAACAUUUCACACAUGCUUGCUGUGUGCCAGGCUGUGCUGGGCAUUUCCUAGGCAAUGCCCAAUCAGGGACUAUAUCUGCUUUGCUCAUCACUUUAUGUCUCAUAACAGGCAUAUCCUGGGUACACCGUAAUGAUUUUGUUCAAUGGGGGCUCCUGUUUUGUCCUCACAACAACCCUAUGGGGCAGGUAGUAUGAGGAUCCUCGUUUUACAGGUGAGGAAAACGAUCUAGAAAAGAUUAAACUGACCAAGGUCACACACUUGUAUGUAGCAGAUCUGAGAUUUGAGAUCAGCUCUUUGUGACCAUGAAGUCCAAAGUGUUCAACCACUUUGUUGGAAUGUUAAAAUCUGCACCUAAACAUGUACUUAAUGACCCACGGUAAGACUCAAACCCCUUUGAGACUACCACAUCCCGAGUGGGUUUCAAAAAUCUCAGACCUCCCUUUCUAGCUUCAAAACUCUGAUGUCAGAGGACUCCUGUGGAGAUGCGCUGGAGGGGCAUCUUAUCAUUUAGUCUGAAAGGCCUGAGAAGUGGAUGUAGUGCGACAUCGCCAACCAAUUAUCACCCAGUUAGCAGCCUGAAACAACACGCGUGUCUUCUCUCAGUUUCUGUGGACUCACUGCUUUAGCUCUGUCCUGUGUUCAAGGUCGUCUCACAAAGCCGCACUCCAGGUGUCAGCCGAACUGAGUUUUCAGCCAGAUGCUUGAGUGGAGAAGAGUCUGCGUCUGAGCUCAUUCUUGUCCCAGGCUUUAUUUCCUCAGGAUUAUAUACCUAAGGCCUGACUUUCUGCUGGCUGUUGGCCAGAGGCCACCGUCAGGUCGAGGAGGCGGCUUCCUCAACAUGGCUGCUCACUUCAUCAAGCCUGCCAGGAGAACCUGCUAGCGUGUGCUGAUGUGGCAAAAUACUCCUUCCUGGAAGAGUCUUCUGUUUUAAGGUCUAAACAGUUGCCCGGAUUACUGUUGUUCUUCACAGUGCACACGCGGAAGGAAGAAUAUUGCGAUGAUUAAUAACCGCGCAGCAGGGUUGCUGAGGUAAAGCGAUUUGCAGAUGUAAAGGGCAAUAAGCAUUCCUGGGAGGAACCCAACGAGAUUCCAGAAGCCUCGGCGGGAGCCGUGGGUGUACGCCGCCAGGCCCCGAGGGCGGGCAGUGCCGCAGAGGCCCCUGCGGGGGACUGACUGCGGGCGCUGGGCUGACUCUUCAGGGGGCUCAGUCGCGCGCCCCUCCUCCCGCCGAUUCCCCAGUUUCUCUGGCCAGAGGACUGCGUGUUUUCCAGAACAUCAGAGCUGCAACGCACAGCGGACAUUUCCCCCUACUCCAGCCUUUCCGUUUCACAAAUGGGGACACUAAGGCUCCGAGAAGUAGGUUCAUCCUUCCAAACGUGCACAGCUGGUUGGAGACAGAUGAAGACGAGGAUUUCUGGCUUCAAACCAGAGUCCUUUCCAUCUCACCUCUAACCCCAGUGCUCUUGUGGCUUGGGGACCCUGCUGCUUGGCUCCGGUGGUGGGGUGUGCAGUAGAGCCAAACACUGGCUUUGGGCCUCCUAAAGGACGCCAGUGGGACACCUGCUCCUCCGCACGGCUCACAGCCUGACCCCAGGACCUGCAGCGAUGGCCAGGAGGUGUGAACUGCCAAAGCCACAAAUAUGCCUCCUUCACAGGGGAUUGGAACGGCUUUUCUCGUCCAGAGAACCCGAGUUGGCUGUCCUGAAACCAGUCUUGGACCAGCAGCUGGUCGUUCUUCACAGUUACCCAAGCCCUGCAUGAAGCUUUUCGCAGCCAAGACAAGAGCAGAAGGCACGGAGCCCGAACCCGUGGGAACCCCUUUUUGCGCACUGGAAGGUCUUUUCAUGGCACAUAGCGGUUAGAUUCUGUAGGGGAAUGUCUCUGUCUCUCUUCCCUUUUCGUCCCAACCACUUCCUCUUACAUCUCACAUUCUAUUUCUUCCCUAACUUCUAGACCGAGUACGAAGGCAGCUCAGACUGAGAAGACCCGGCCUCAGGGAUCCCCACCGGCUGGUUAGAGGAGUCUGGGAUCCUUCCCCUCUGAUUGUACUCGGAGCUAGAGCGGUAGAAGCAACAGCUCUGCCCCCUGGUGGACAUGGGAGGCACAGCGCCCCUCUCCAACUCAGAAGCCCCACCGUGGUGCUGCAGGAGAGGAAGGAAGCCCUCUUUGUUCCCUCUGAUAGAGCAAAAUUGGCACAGGAAAAAUAAUCCCUUUCUGGCUUAAUUCUGAUGAUCUGGUCAGUUUGGAUGC